UACAUGGGGUGCAAACGUUGCUCGGAAUUAUUGGGCGUAAAGCGCACGUAGGCGGUUCGUUAAGUCGGAUGUGAAAGCCCUCGGCUCAACUGAGGAAGUGCACCCGAAACUGGCGAGCUUGAGUACGAAAGAGGAUCGCGGAAUUCCCAGUGUAGAGGUGAAAUUCGUAGAUAUUGGGAAGAACACCGGUGGCGAAGGCGGCUCUCUGGACCGAUACUGACGCUGAGGCGCGAAAGCGUGGGGAGCAAACAGG
rnacentral:rRNA from 1 species